rnacentral:rRNA from 1 species
GACGAACGCUGGCGGCGUGCUUAACACAUGCAAGUCGAACGAUGAACUCCAGCUUGCUGGGGGAAUUAGUGGCGAACGGGUGAGUAACACGUGAGUAACCUGCCCUUGACUCUGGGAUAAGCGCUGGAAACGGCGUCUAAUACCGGAUACGAGCUUCAGCCGCAUGGCUAGGAGUUGGAAAGAAUUUCGGUCAAGGAUGGACUCGCGGCCUAUCAGCUAGUUGGUGAGGUAAUGGCUCACCAAGGCGACGACGGGUAGCCGGCCUGAGAGGGUGACCGGCCACACUGGGACUGAGACACGGCCCAGACUCCUACGGGAGGCAGCAGUGGGGAAUAUUGCACAAUGGGCGCAAGCCUGAUGCAGCAACGCCGCGUGAGGGACGACGGCCUUCGGGUUGUAAACCUCUUAUAGUAGGGAAGAAGCGAAAGUGACGGUACCUGCAGAAAAAGCACCGGCUAACUACGUGCCAGCAGCCGCGGUAAUACGUAGGGUGCAAGCGUUGUCCGGAAUUAUUGGGCGUAAAGAGCUCGUAGGCGGUUUGUCGCGUCUGCUGUGAAAUCUGGGGGCUCAACCCCCAGCCUGCAGUGGGUACGGGCAGACUAGAGUGCGGUAGGGGAGAUUGGAAUUCCUGGUGUAGCGGUGGAAUGCGCAGAUAUCAGGAGGAACACCGAUGGCGAAGGCAGAUCUCUGGGCCGUAACUGACGCUGAGGAGCGAAAGCGUGGGGAGCGAACAGGAUUAGAUACCCUGGUAGUCCACGCCGUAAACGUUGGGAACUAGAUGUGGGGACCAUUCCACGGUCUCCGUGUCGCAGCUAACGCAUUAAGUUCCCCGCCUGGGGAGUACGGCCGCAAGGCUAAAACUCAAAGGAAUUGACGGGGGCCCGCACAAGCGGCGGAGCAUGCGGAUUAAUUCGAUGCAACGCGAAGAACCUUACCAAGGCUUGACAUAUACCGGAAACGGCCAGAGAUGGUCGCCCCGCAAGGUCGGUAUACAGGUGGUGCAUGGUUGUCGUCAGCUCGUGUCGUGAGAUGUUGGGUUAAGUCCCGCAACGAGCGCAACCCUCGUUCUAUGUUGCCAGCACGUUAUGGUGGGAACUCAUAGGAGACUGCCGGGGUCAACUCGGAGGAAGGUGGGGAUGACGUCAAAUCAUCAUGCCCCUUAUGUCUUGGGCUUCACGCAUGCUACAAUGGCCGGUACAAAGGGCUGCGAUACCGUAAGGUGGAGCGAAUCCCAAAAAGCCGGUCUCAGUUCGGAUUGAGGUCUGCAACUCGACCUCAUGAAGUCGGAGUCGCUAGUAAUCGCAGAUCAGCAACGCUGCGGUGAAUACGUUCCCGGGCCU